UCCCAGACUCCUACGGGAGGCAGCAGUGAGGAAUAUUGGUCAAUGGUCGGGAGACUGAACCAGCCAAGCCGCGUGAGGGAUGAAGGUACAGAGUAUCGUAAACCUCUUUUGUCAGGGAACAAAGGCGGGGACGCGUCCCCGGAUGAGUGUACCUGAAGAAAAAGCAUCGGCUAACUCCGUGCCAGCAGCCGCGGUAAUACGGAGGAUGCGAGCGUUAUCCGGAUUUAUUGGGUUUAAAGGGUGCGUAGGCGGACUGGAAAGUCAGCGGUAAAAUCGGGAGGCUCAACCUCUGUCCGCCGUUGAAACUGGCUUGCUAGAGUGGGCGAGAAGUAUGCGGAAUGCGUGGUGUAGCGGUGAAAUGCAUAGAUAUCACGCAGAACUCCGAUUGCGAAGGCAGCAUACCGGCGCCCAACUGACGCUCAGGCACGAAAGCGUGGGUAUCGAACAGGAUUAGAUACCCGAGUA
rnacentral:rRNA from 1 species